GGGGCGGGGUCGGCGCCGCGCGCGAGAGCCUCGGCCUGGCCGCGCUGCGCCCGCCGCCGCCGCCGCCCCCUCCCCGCCUGGGCCCUACCGCCGCACGGCCCCGGCCCCCUCCCAGCCUGCCGCUCCGGAGAGCCGCCCGCCGAGGAUGCGACGCACCGCAGUGUUCUAAGAACGGAAGCAUCUGGGCUGGAUGGAAUUUAGCAUCAAGCAGAGUCCCCUUUCUGUUCAGAGUGUUGUAAAGUGCAUAAAGAUGAAGCAGGCACCAGAAAUCCUUGGCAGUGCCAACGGGAAGACUCCGAGCUGCGAGGUGAACCGCGAGUGUUCUGUGUUCCUCAGCAAAGCCCAGCUCUCCAGUAGCCUGCAGGAGGGGGUCAUGCAGAAGUUUAACGGCCACGACGCCCUGCCCUUUAUUCCAGCCGACAAGCUGAAAGAUCUUACUUCCCGGGUGUUUAAUGGAGAACCCGGCGCACACGAUGCCAAACUGCGUUUUGAGUCCCAGGAAAUGAAAGGGAUUGGGACACCCCCUAACACUACCCCUAUCAAAAAUGGCUCUCCAGAAAUUAAGCUGAAAAUCACCAAAACAUACAUGAAUGGGAAGCCUCUUUUUGAAUCUUCCAUUUGUGGUGACAGUGCUGCUGAUGUGUCUCAGUCAGAAGAAAAUGGACAAAAACCAGAAAACAAGGCGAGAAGGAACAGGAAGAGGAGCAUAAAAUAUGACUCCUUGCUGGAGCAGGGCCUUGUCGAAGCAGCUCUUGUGUCUAAGAUCUCAAGUCCUUCAGAUAAAAAGAUUCCAGCUAAGAAAGAGUCUUGUCCAAACACUGGAAGAGACAAAGACCACCUGUUGAAAUACAACGUUGGUGAUUUGGUGUGGUCCAAAGUGUCGGGUUACCCUUGGUGGCCUUGCAUGGUUUCUGCAGAUCCACUCCUUCACAGCUAUACCAAACUUAAAGGUCAGAAAAAGAGUGCACGCCAGUAUCACGUACAGUUCUUUGGUGACGCCCCAGAAAGAGCUUGGAUAUUUGAGAAGAGCCUCGUAGCUUUUGAAGGAGAAGGACAGUUUGAAAAAUUAUGCCAGGAAAGUGCCAAGCAGGCACCCACGAAAGCUGAGAAAAUUAAGCUAUUGAAACCAAUUUCAGGGAAAUUGAGGGCCCAGUGGGAAAUGGGCAUUGUUCAAGCAGAAGAAGCUGCAAGCAUGUCAGUGGAGGAGCGGAAAGCCAAGUUCACCUUUCUCUAUGUGGGGGACCAGCUUCAUCUCAACCCUCAAGUAGCCAAGGAGGCUGGCAUUGCUGCAGAGUCUUUGGGAGAAAUGGCAGAAUCCUCAGGAGUCGGUGAAGAAGCUGCUGAAAACCCCAAGUCUGUGAGAGAAGAGUGCAUUCCCAUGAAGAGAAGGCGGAGGGCCAAACUGUGUAGCUCUGCAGAGACCCUGGAGAGUCACCCCGACAUAGGGAAGAGUACUCCUCAAAAGACGGCAGAGGCUGACCCCAGAAGAGGAGUAGGGUCUCCUCCUGGGAGGAAGAAGACCACAGUCUCCAUGCCACGAAGCAGGAAGGGAGAUGCAGCAUCCCAGUUUUUGGUCUUCUGUCAAAAACACAGGGAUGAGGUGGUAGCUGAGCACCCAGAUGCUUCAGGUGAGGAGAUUGAAGAGCUGCUCAGGUCACAGUGGAGUCUGCUGAGUGAGAAGCAGAGAGCACGCUACAACACCAAGUUUGCCCUGGUGGCCCCUGUCCAGGCUGAAGAAGACUCUGGUAACGUAAAUGGGAAAAAAAGAAACCACACAAAGAGGAUACAGGACCCUACAGAAGAUGCUGAAGCUGAGGACACACCCAGGAAAAGACUCAGGACGGACAAGCACAGUCUUCGGAAGAGAGACACAAUCACUGACAAAACGGCCAGAACAAGCUCUUACAAGGCCAUGGAGGCAGCCUCCUCGCUCAAGAGCCAGGCAGCAACGAAAAAUCUGUCUGAUGCAUGCAAACCACUGAAGAAGCGAAAUCGGGCUUCCACGGCAGCAUCUUCAGCUCUUGGGUUUAGCAAAAGUUCAUCUCCUUCUGCAUCCUUAACUGAGAAUGAGGUCUCGGACAGCCCGGGAGACGAGCCCUCGGAGUCCCCAUACGAAAGUGCGGACGAAACACAAACUGAAGUGUCUGUCUCAUCCAAAAAGUCUGAGCGAGGAGUGACUGCCAAAAAGGAGUAUGUGUGCCAGCUGUGUGAGAAGCCGGGCAGCCUCCUGCUCUGUGAAGGACCCUGCUGCGGAGCUUUCCACCUCGCCUGCCUUGGGCUUUCCCGGAGGCCAGAAGGGAGGUUCACCUGCAGCGAGUGUGCCUCAGGGAUUCACUCAUGUUUCGUGUGUAAAGAGAGCAAGACAGAUGUUAAGCGCUGUGUGGUAACUCAGUGUGGAAAAUUUUACCAUGAGGCUUGUGUGAAAAAAUACCCUCUGACUGUAUUUGAGAGCCGAGGUUUCCGCUGCCCCCUCCACAGCUGUGUGAGCUGCCAUGCUUCCAACCCUUCAAACCCAAGGCCGUCGAAAGGUAAAAUGAUGCGGUGUGUCCGCUGCCCCGUUGCCUAUCACAGCGGGGAUGCUUGUCUGGCAGCAGGAUGCUCAGUGAUCGCCUCCAACAGCAUCAUCUGCACUGCCCACUUCACUGCUCGGAAGGGGAAGCGACACCAUGCCCACGUCAACGUGAGCUGGUGCUUCGUGUGCUCCAAAGGGGGGAGCCUUCUGUGCUGUGAGUCCUGCCCAGCGGCCUUCCACCCUGACUGCCUGAACAUCGAGAUGCCUGACGGCAGCUGGUUCUGCAAUGACUGCAGGGCUGGGAAGAAGCUGCACUUCCAGGAUAUCAUUUGGGUGAAACUUGGGAACUACAGAUGGUGGCCGGCAGAAGUUUGCCAUCCCAAAAAUGUUCCCCCAAAUAUUCAGAAAAUGAAGCACGAGAUUGGAGAAUUCCCUGUGUUUUUCUUUGGGUCUAAAGAUUAUUACUGGACGCAUCAGGCGCGAGUGUUCCCGUACAUGGAGGGGGACCGGGGCAGCCGCUACCAGGGGGUCAGAGGAAUCGGAAGAGUCUUCAAAAACGCACUGCAAGAAGCUGAAGCUCGUUUUCGUGAAAUUAAGCUUCAGAGGGAAGCCCGAGAAACACAGGAGAGCGAGCGCAAGCCCCCACCAUACAAGCACAUCAAGGUGAAUAAGCCUUACGGGAAAGUCCAGAUCUACACAGCGGAUAUUUCAGAAAUCCCUAAGUGCAACUGCAAGCCCACAGAUGAGAAUCCUUGUGGCUUUGAUUCGGAGUGUCUGAACAGGAUGCUGAUGUUUGAGUGCCACCCGCAGGUGUGUCCCGCGGGCGAGUUCUGCCAGAACCAGUGCUUCACCAAGCGCCAGUACCCAGAGACCAAGAUCAUCAAGACAGAUGGCAAAGGGUGGGGCCUGGUCGCCAAGAGGGACAUCAGAAAGGGAGAAUUUGUUAACGAGUACGUUGGGGAGCUGAUCGACGAGGAGGAGUGCAUGGCGAGAAUCAAGCACGCACACGAGAACGACAUCACCCACUUCUACAUGCUCACUAUAGACAAGGACCGUAUAAUAGACGCUGGCCCCAAAGGAAACUACUCUCGAUUUAUGAAUCACAGCUGCCAGCCCAACUGUGAGACCCUCAAGUGGACAGUGAAUGGGGACACUCGUGUGGGCCUGUUUGCCGUCUGUGACAUUCCUGCAGGGACGGAGCUGACUUUUAACUACAACCUCGAUUGUCUGGGCAAUGAAAAAACGGUCUGCCGGUGUGGAGCCUCCAAUUGCAGUGGAUUCCUUGGGGAUAGACCAAAGACCUCGACGACCCUUUCAUCAGAGGAAAAGGGCAAAAAGACCAAGAAGAAAAUGAGGCGGCGCAGAGCAAAAGGGGAAGGGAAGAGGCAGUCAGAGGACGAGUGCUUCCGCUGCGGUGAUGGCGGGCAGCUGGUGCUGUGUGACCGCAAGUUCUGCACCAAGGCCUACCACCUGUCCUGCCUGGGCCUUGGCAAGCGGCCCUUCGGUGGGUGUGCAGCCUCGCGGUGGCUUGCGGCUGUGUCUGUGUGGCAGGCUCCUGAUGGCGGCUGCUGCCGCUCUUCCUGCUGACCGGGCCUCAUCUGGGUGCAGGCGCACCAGGCGCUCAUGCAGCGAAGGCCCUGAUCCAGGGUGGCAGAGCCUUUCUUUGUUCCACCAGCUGCACAUUCUAGAUCUCUGCAUCGAGCAGAGAAGAUACGUGGUGACGGGGUAGCCCCUGGAACCUCCAGGAGGGAUUCAGGCAGCCCAAGGCCCAGCUGCAGAAUUGGGGCCCUCAUCCAUGCUGUGGGGGCGGGGCGGCCAGGAAGGAGGCGACGCUGGGAACUAAAGCCCCUCCUAGGAGAAAGGCCUCUACAGCAGCGUCUCCCUGGCAGCCCAGAGGGGCCUGGCCUGACUGCACUACAGUGGGAAUGGAGGGGCCCAGAGCCCCUGUCCUGGAUGUGCAGGGCAGGCUGUCCCCAGAGAUGGUGCUGUGCACCAGGAGGCUCCGCCGGUUGACGAAGGAGCUGCAGCUCUGGCUCCGUUUGAGGGAAAGUAGAGUGGGCUCCACCUUCCAGCACCCGCAUUUCAGAGAUGACAGGCGCCAGUGGGAAAACAGUAGCAUCUUGUUCCACUUGGUGAUGAGACAGUCUUGAGAAAUGGGUCGUGAGAUGACUCUGGUGCUGCGCAGACAUCAUGGCUCACACCUAAGGGUGCAGCCACCUCCGUUACAAUCUUGCAGUGUGUCGCCAUGGGGCUCUCGACUGUGUGGAAUCACAGAAGAAAAAUUAAAAGGCCCUUACCCAAAACAAGAAACCAAAAAGAGGCCAGGUGCGGGGGCUCAUGCCUGUAAUCCCAGUACUUUGGGAGGCCAAGGGAAGUGGGAAUGUCCUUGGCAUCAUUGUGACGUGUGUGGCAAACCUUCGACUUCAUUUUGCCACCUCUGCCCCAAUUCGUUCUGUAAGGAGCACCAGGACGGGACAGCCUUCAGCUGCACCCCGGACGGGCGGUCCUACUGCUGUGAGCAUGACUUAGGGGCGGCAUCGGUCAGAAGCACCAAGACUGAGAAGCCCCCCCCAGAGCCAGGGAAGCCGAAGGGGAAGAGGCGGCGGCGGAGGGGCUGGCGGAGAGUCACAGAGGGCAAAUAGCGCCAGGCGGCAGCUUGGCCGGAUCCAGGGGCGGAGCAGGGCGGCCGGCCCUGCCUGCGGGAGAGGGCGAGCAUGAACUGGCCCAGAGGACCCAGCUCGAGCCGCCAGGACACAGACGUACAGGCCUCCUCGGGAGGGAGCGCCUCCCCACCACUGAGCCAUCCUCAGCAGCAUCCGCUGCGUCUGCACUGAUGACCGUCUGAGCCCAGCUCAGCGUUCCUGGACAAACAGCCUCACUCCUCAGCGUUACCGCCACACUUGAAUUUCUCCGAAUGUCAAGGUUCCCUCCCACUCUAUUUUUUUAGGUUAAAGUUAAUUGGCAUAUGGAAUGUUUUAAUCUCCUCUGAAAUGUGUAGCGUAGGCUUUUCCCAAGGGUCGCUAGAAACUCGGCUUCGCGUUGCCCCCUUUCUGGCUCUCAGCGCCGUCGCCACUCAGGAGAGGCUGGGUGAGGCCCGUGUGAGGACUGACCCUGGAUUCCUCGAAACUGCCAUUGUGAUCAUUACUCUGCUCUUUGGAAAUGGCUAUUAUCUUUUUUUGUACUAAUGUGAAUUGUUCCUCAGAAAUGCUUCUUUUCCAUCCUAGUGAGAAGCUGGCCCUGCAGGUGGUGGCAGCAAUGGUGUUGUAAGAUUUCCUCCCGUAGUUUUUUUCUCCUCAUGGAUUUGAAUGAAAUGCCAAUAACACGUCCACUUUCAACGUGUAGUUUACGCGGAGCACUUUCGAGGCCUGGCCGGGUUGGGCCUACUUCUCACCUGGGCCUAUCUUCUGAACUCGCUAGGUUCUUAUCAACAUUUGGGGGAGAACUUUGUAUAUUUUUUUCAUUUGGCUUUUCUUUACCAGUUUCUGAUUUUUAUUCUCAAUAUAUUUUUGCUAAACCUAUUUCACAAAUCACCACCGACUGAAGUGUGUGUUUACUGAUGCGGCCCUGAGCUCCGUGGCGAAAGGAGUGACUUUGCAGGGCGUGAGACCGCAGUCUGCUUAGAGCACAGGAAGUGACAACUUAGGGAGCCCCGUAGGGCGCUGCAGGCCCCGGGGACCCCAGCACGUGGGUCUAAAGAGAGACGGAGUCUAGCCCUCCUGCCACCCAGAGUGGCUUCCAUCUCAGCACUCUAUGGGUCUGGUGAUGGAAGAUGCAGACUCUGCUGAUCACAUGUGCCCUCUGCCAGGGCACCUACUGAGAGGUGUGGUCCUGGGGGUGGAGGCCUGCCUGGCAGGUGUGCGUGCCUCGUACGUGUGUUAUGGGCACUGGUCUAGGCCAGGUAUGACACCCACUCUCCUGUGAGAUUUCACUUUAGUUUUUAAAAGGUCCAGUUCUACAGAGUGCGACCUAUCUGAGUACUACAUAUGUUUUAAGACUUGGUUCUUUUUUUGAGGGAUCCUUGACCCUGGGAAGUCUGGAGCACCCUGAGAAGGGGGCACCAUGUGUGCCUUUGCCCACGUGUCCUGAGGGGCUGCUUGUCUGGGAGGGAGUGAGAGAACAUUCAGCAGCAGGUGCUUUUUUAUGGCCUUUUCUUAAAAUAACCUAAGGGGGACACAUCCAUCUUGCAGAGAAGUUUACAGAACUCCCCUUGAAAACUGCUGCUGAGGCUCCUGUUAAAUUUUCUGUGGCAUCUUUUAUGCCUUGGUAAAAACUGCAGUGUCUUUGGACCUGAGAGUGGCUACUCCGUGGUUUUGUGACCUGUAAGCGUGGGGUUCAGGGGUGUGUGGCCCUGCAGGGUCCCACGCCUCCCUGAGCACUGACUGGAAGUUUCACUGGCUGGUGGCUGUCCCUUCUCCCAUCAGGGUCCCCAGCAAAGUUAACUACACAGAGGACCCAGGGGAAACGAGCUGUGUAGCCACUGACUUGCUCGCGCGGCCGUGGCCUCUGAGGUGCACUUGCCGGUUAGGACAGGGUGGGAGUGCUUUCCAGUUCAGACUCUAACUUCUCCCAAAUUGUCCUAAGAAAAUACUGGAUCGGCUCAUAGAUUUAUGCUCCUUAUGAUGCCCUAACUUGGAAGGUUGUUCUAGGGACAGGCCGGGCAGUGUCCCCACACACACCUUAGAGUCGAAGGCCCCAGGGCCCCGCUGUCACUUGCCCAAAAGAUCCCUUCCGGCAGGUAAGGGACUAACAAUGCUUACGUCAAAACAGCAGAAUCAGCUUUGCAGUGCACUUUGGGGAGCAGAUAUUAACUUAUUUUUGUGUUGGACAGUAGUGAAAUCUUGUGAUUUUUAAUCGCUUUGAUAAUACUUCCAAAUUUUAUGAUUUUUCUGAAGGAAAUAACGCAAGCAUUUUAAAUAUGUUUCCUUCCCCUUUCCAAAAACUGUUAAACUAAUGAGCAAGUAACACUAACUUUGAAUGUCUCUACAAUACCCGUUGAUAACUCGGUGGAGCCAGGCUUUGGGGUAGCGGCCCUGAGCUUGCAGGGUUUCUCGCCACUGGGGCUGACCAGGCCCCCAGCUGUGACCCUGGGUGUGGUUGGCUCUCAGCCCUGCCCAGCUUUGUUCUGAGGGCGUGGUGACUUCCUGAACAUCAGCUUCAAUCCUUCGUCAUUAAUGUGUAGCAAAACACAAAAACCGCCCCAAUCCCUCAGGAUUCCUUGGCAUCCGAAACCAGCAUCUGCACCUAAACCCAUACCCACCCGUGUGCGCCCACAGGGGGAUGUGUCCGAAUGGGCAGCUUAAAAUGUGGUCACCUGUGGGGGAAACUCUUCAGGCACCUGAAGUGAGAACCCAGCUGUCCGUCCUCAGGCCGGCCUUUCUUCCGGCGACACCUGUCCGUGGCUGUCUGGGUCCCCUUCGCAGUGUUUGUCUGUCUGUCUUGACAUCUAAACCCCGGCGUGUGCAGUGCCCAUCUUCCAGAACUACCUUAUUUUCCAGAAUUAAACCUGUUUUAUAAUUCAAGUUAAUGCAAAUGACUGUCAGUCGCCAAAUAUCUUGAUCCUAUGAGUAUAGUUGAUGACUGUUUGUUAGUCAGUAGAGUAAAAUGCUGUGUCCACGGGGUGUCACAGCCUCACCAUACCCUGUUGAGGUGUGAAAUGCCCCGUCAGAAAUUAAAUACAAACUUAAAUGUGCCUAUUGGUGUCUAAACUUCAUACAAUGUAAGGUCAGAUUCCUUUUAGGAAUACUGGGUGCUGUCACCAGGUUUGAUAGUUAGACUUAAAAACUUGAAAUUCACUUUUGGGGGGGAGGGAUAUACUGAAAUAGAGAGUUGAGACUUGCCAGUUGGGGGAAAAUAGCAUUUAAAAUGGAAAGCUGUGUUUGGAAAAUUGUGUAUGAGUAUUUUUGUAUUAAAAACAUUUUAAAGGCUUUUUUCUUAACUUA